GAUGAACGCUAGCGGCAGGCUUAAUACAUGCAAGUCGAGGGGCAGCAUGAAGUAGCAAUACUUUGAUGGCGACCGGCAAACGGGUGCGGAACACGUACACAACCUUCCUUUAAGUGGGGAAUAGCCCAGAGAAAUUUGGAUUAAUACCCCGUAACACAACGAAGUGGCAUCACUUUGUUGUUAUAGUUUCGGCGCUUAAUGAUGGGUGUGCGUAUGAUUAGAUAGUUGGCGAGGUAACGGCUCACCAAGUCUACGAUCAUUAGCUGAUGUGAGAGCAUGAUCAGGCAACAGGGCAAUGGGAAAAGGGCCCGAAUCCUAACGGAAGGAGCAAGAAGGAAUAAUGGGUAAAGGACGGAAGUCUGAAACAGCCAAGCCGGGUGAAGGAUUAAGGGCCUCUGGAUUGUAAACUUCUUUUAUAUGGGACGAAAAAAGGUCUUUCUAGAACCCUUGACGGUACCAUAUGAAUAAGCACCGGCUAACUCCGUG
rnacentral:rRNA from 1 species